rnacentral:tRNA from 1 species
GUCCACGUAGCUCAGCUGGAUAGAGCGACCGCCUCCUAAGCGGUAGGUCGGAGGUUCGAAUCCUCUCGCGGACG